AAGAAGAUAGAAGUUCCGCCUCCAUACUCAUUUCACUCGGAGCGCUUGGAAUCGGUGCUAAUGCUGCACUUAUGGCAGUAAUUCUUCUUUGCAAGCCUUUAAGAAGAUAAAAGGUUGUGUAAAAAUAAUCAAAAUAAACCUUAAACCAUAAAAAACACAUCAUAAACCAAAUAUAAGAAUUAAACAAACAAAUUAUGGCAACGGGUUCUGCUCGUGGGAACACAAUUUCUCGAGGUAUUCCUGGAGCUGGAAUAUUUAUCUCAUCAGAAGAACGAAACAAUGAAACUUCAAAUGGAACUGCAAUUGAAUGUCCAGAUAAUUCUCACUCUGCAGCAGUUAUCAUAUUUGUUGUUUCUGGCUUAGGUAUAACAGCCAAUAUCGUCAUUAUGUUCCUUAUACUUACGCGCAAAAGUCUUCGAAGAAAACAUUUUCUCUCUAGGUGGAGCCAAGGAUUACUUUUUCAUCAAGCUCUCGUGGACUGUGCAAGAGCUGCAAUUCUAGUACCUCUUGGGAUUUCCAUUCUCAAGUGUCAGCCCGUCAAUAAGUGUUCCCUUGUUGAAACAGCGUUUCUGUUACUUGUGACGGUAUCUAGCGUGAAUUUACUGACAACGGUGCUCAAUGACGCUCCAGUACUACCGGACGAUGACGACGACGAUGCUUUACCUAUGUUGAUGGAUAGUCCUCAAUGUGUCAUAUUUGGAAUGUUCAUGAUAUGGUUUGCAAGUAUAACAAUAAAUCUGGGACCUACCUUUCUAAGCGGAGCCUUGGCAGCAAAUUCAGAAAGCUACUUGAAUCGUCCUUCGUGUCCUCUUAUACAGGGGCCUUUUCGUCAUUAUGUUCUGAAUGUUCUUUGGAUCUUUAUUAAUGUACUCUGUGUGCUACUUACCAUGUAUCAUUUAUACAAAUUAUAUAAGGAUUUAACAAAAUCAAAUUUGGAGGCUGUUCGCGUCACUUCACUAGUAACGGCUCUCAUCAAUGUGAAUGCUGGAGUUGAUAGUGAGUCAUACCGUAUCAAAUCAUAUAUUCAAAAAAUGGAGAAGGAGGGAAUAGCACGUGUCAAGAUGUUCAUAAUUAUAACUGUUGCAUAUCUCAUUUUCUGGGGCCCUCUUUUUCUAGUCACUCUCUUUAGUUAUGGAGACUAUAAAACGGAAGAUCCAUCUGCUUCUCAUGAAAUUACUCUACAUGUUGCCUUUGUCCAUGCCUUCGUGAAUCCGACGUUGUUCUUAGUUUUACAUAAGGGCUUGAGAAAAGCCACUCUCGACUUAAUAUGCUGUAAUUUCCAUGAUUCCGAAUCUCCACAAACAGAGGAAUAUCCUCCCGAUCAAAUUGCCAUAACAAGAGGAUCCAAUGGAACUGCUCUUAAUAUGGAGUCCACAAAGAUACACAAUUCACUCAAUCAUCGUAUGCCCUUAAGCACGGAUGAUAUAUUAGGAAGUUCUACUUCUACGACCAAUUUGGAUGGGCCCAUCUCAUCCCUUAGUCGAGCAUACAUGUGAUUAUGAAUUGGAAAAUAAGUUUAUUUAUAAAGAUUAGUUAUGGAACUGAGGUCAAUGGAAGAUUAUUAUUUAUAGCGACUUAUAUGAAUUUCAUACAAAUAUCAGAUCAAACAAUCCACAGAUUGCCAGAGAAUCGAAGUGAAACUGGAAGCAAAA
rnacentral:misc_RNA from 1 species